rnacentral:rRNA from 1 species
CGUGUAGGCGGUUAGGUAAGUGGAACGUGAAAUCCCUCGGCUCACCCGAGGACCUGCGUCCCAAACUGCCUAGCUUGAGUAUGGGAGAGGAUGAGGGAAUUCCUGGUGUAGCGGUGAAAUGCGUAGAUAUCAGGAGGAACACCGGUGGCGAAGGCGCUCAUCUGGCCCAAUACUGACGCUGAGGCGCGAAAGCUAGGGGAGGCAAACG